UUAAAUGGCCGCAGUAUUUUGACUGUGCUAAGGUAGCAUAAUAAAUAGUUUUUUAAUUGAAAGCUGGUAUGAAUGAUUGAAUGAGAUAAAAGCUGUCUUAAAUUUAAAAAUUGAAUUUUAUAUUUAAGUUAAAAAGCUUAAAUAAAAUUAAAAGACGAGAAGACCCUAUAGAGUUUAAUAAUUUUAAAUUUUAAAAUUUUUUUAUAAAAUAUAUUAUAAUAUUUAAAAUUAUUUUGUUGGGGUGAUAGAAAAAUUUAAUAAACUUUUUUUUUUAUUAACAUUGAUUUAUGUAUUUAUGAUCCAUUAUUUAAUGAUUAAAAGAAUUAAUUACCUUAGGGAUAACAGCGUAAUUAUUUUUAAGAGUUCUUAUCAAAAAAAUAGAUUGNGACCUCGAUGUUGGAUUAAAGUUAAUUUUUGGUGUAGAAGCUAAGAUUUUAAGUCUGUUCGACUUUUGAAACUUUACAUGAUCUGAGU
rnacentral:rRNA from 1 species